rnacentral:rRNA from 3 species
ACUGCCGGCCGCAUGGUCUGGUGGUGGAAAGAUUUUUUGGUUGGGGAUGGACUCGCGGCCUAUCAGCUUGUUGGUGAGGUAAUGGCUCACCAAGGCGACGACGGGUAGCCGGCCUGAGAGGGGUGACCGGCCACACUGGGACUGAGACACGGCCCAGACUCCUACGGGAGGCAGCAGUGGGGAAUAUUGCACAAUGGGCGAAAGCCUGAUGCAGCAACGCCGCGUGAGGGAUGACGGCCUUCGGGUUGUAAACCUCUUUUAGUAGGGAAGAAGCGUAAGUGACGGUACCUGCAGAAAAAGCACCGGCUAACUACGUGCCAGCAGCCGCGGUAAUACGUAGGGUGCAAGCGUUGUCCGGAAUUAUUGGGCGUAAAGAGCUCGUAGGCGGUUUGUCGCGUCUGCUGUGAAAUCCCGAGGCUCAACCUCGGGCUUGCAGUGGGUACGGGCAGACUAGAGUGCGGUAGGGGAGAUUGGAAUUCCUGGUGUAGCGGUGGAAUGCGCAGAUAUCAGGAGGAACACCGAUGGCGAAGGCAGAUCUCUGGGCCGUAACUGACGCUGAGGAGCGAAAGCGUGGGGAGCGAACAGGAU